AAAGAAUUGAAAAAAUUUCAUUAAUCCAUCUGAUAGAAAUGAUGCGUCCAGAAAGGUUACGAUUGAUGUUUAAGAUCUUAGUGUACUGUUGCUCCAGAUGGUGUGGCUGAGGAUGAGCACGAUGGAAAUGAUGAUGAUGACAACAAGUGCACAACCCUUUGGCCCCCGGCGCUGACUCCACUUUCCUGGCGUCUUGCUUUUCCUUUGCCAUUCCACACUUGCCCGGGGGAGGUGGAUACGUGCCUGCCGAUGAGGGGGCAUGCCACAUUUACGCGCUGCACUUGCCACGCGCGUACCAAAAUAAACACGAGUUUCAUGUAGUACCACGGACCAAGUCUGCCGCGAGGGUUGACAAAACAAGUCCGCAAGUGCAGCAAUUUAGGCGGAAAAGCAAUGAACAGGAGACGAGCUCCUGUUGCCUGAGGGGUCUGCAAAUUUGCAUAUACUCGUGGAAAUUCCUUUAUAACUGCACGGAGAAAAAGAACUGGCACGAACGAAUGUACAAAGCAAUCGACUAAUUCAAACUAUUCUAUGACUCCUAUUAAUGACUUCAAAUCAAUUGAUCCUGUUUCCCCCAAAACCAAACCCCAAUCAAAAGCUUUGUGGAAAGCAAUUAUGAAAGUAUUCAAUGCAUACACCAGAAACCACCAUCACAUGGUGGCCCUAAUUAAUAUCACAUCUUAUCUGCCACAUAUAAUACGUUGGGGGCAUUGUUGAUGCGCAACACCAUCCCAAAAUCCGUCUGCAGGAGCCAACGACAAAUUAACAAUAACUAAUUGGAAGCUAAUGGCCCAUUGAGGCAUUCACUUCCCAGCCAUAUUGGGGCCAACAACAAUGCCAGCCAGAUUGUGUCAAGAGACACUUUGACCGAGCACCCAAGAGGCGGCUCUCUAAGCUGCCUAUCGUCCAAAGCUACGAAAUCCUUCCAUUCUAUGGCAUAAUUAGCACACAGCCUGCAGGCGCAAAUAUGCAAACAUGCUUUGCAUCGUUUGGCCAACGACGUACACUUUAGGCAAGCAACUGGUAAGUUCAGUUACGGAAUUUCAUCGUGCUCUACAUAUUGAAAUAUUGGUCAAGCUUAUAUAAACUUUUCCAAUAGUAUUGAAUAUUUUGCAAAUUGAUCAUACGCCAUGUAUCCCAUCUAAGGCAACCUAAAUUUAUUGUUAAAUUAAUUAUAAUUCCCCCUGCAAGGUGAUACA
rnacentral:misc_RNA from 1 species